GGUUUGCUGGCAGAGCUUGGUAAGGCGCGGCACUAGUAAUGCCGAGAUCAUUGGUUCAAAUCCGAUAGGAGGCA